UUUAUUACUAGGAUCAACUCUCUUUCCUUCUCACCACAUUUGAAAGAAACCAGAUUUUUAUGAUGUGCUGUGGCUUUCUAGACCUCUCUUGCUAACACACAGCAAGGACAGACACAGCACUGUCAAAGUUCUUGAGCCUCAUAUCCUAGCUCAUCCUAUACCUACUUUGGUAGGCAACAGAUUAGGAAAGCUCCUGUCUUGACUUCAUCUGGGCCACGACGAGGAAAGCCACCU